rnacentral:rRNA from 1 species
AACGAACGCUGGCGGCAUGCCUUACACAUGCAAGUCGAACGGUAACAGGUCUUCGGAUGCUGACGAGUGGCGAACGGGUGAGUAAUACAUCGGAACGUGCCCGAUCGUGGGGGAUAACGGAGCGAAAGCUUUGCUAAUACCGCAUACGAUCUACGGAUGAAAGCAGGGGACCGCAAGGCCUUGCGCGAACGGAGCGGCCGAUGGCAGGUUAGGUAGUUGGUGGGAUAAAAGCUUACCAAGCCGACGAUCUGUAGCUGGUCUGAGAGGACGACCAGCCACACGGGGACUGAGACACAGCCCAGACUCCUACGGGAGGCAGCAGUGGGGAAUUUUGGACAAUGGGCGCAAGCCUGAUCCAGCAAUGCCGCGUGCAGGAUGAAGGCCUUCGGGUUGUAAACUGCUUUUGUACGGAACGAAAAGGCUCUGGUUAAUACCUGGGGCUCAUGACGGUACCGUAAGAAUAAGCACCGGCUAACUACGUGCCAGCCGCCGCGGUAAUAC